rnacentral:rRNA from 1 species
AUGAAUACAACCAUGGAAGCACAAGUAUGCAAAAACUACACGGAGCGUUGGGUCAACAAUAAUCUAGAACCAAGGAAGAGUGUAGACCGCGUGGAAGAUUUUGUCAUCAUCGCGGCUGUGUUUAUGAUCGCCCUUGCCAUUCUCUCGCCCAGGAGGCGUCAAUCUCGGAGCAUCAUUAUAAGAUAUGGAGUGGGCGGAGUGUUUAUAUUAUCCUUCCCACUUCUCUCCUACACUGUGGGACUGAUGCAGGCGGGGAAAAUUAAAAACGAGUUGUACCCGGUGUGGGCAAUGUUUCUGGCCAUGCUUUUUGGAGGCACCAGCUCAAUGUCUGUCCAGAAGCUCGAUCAAAACAAACAACUCAUGAAGCUCUACUGUGAUUGUGCCUUGUUCUCGACGUGCGCUGGCAUGGUAUUAAGUGGUUUUAUUUAUACAUUCGGUAUGAAGCAUAGUUCCAGUCGCCUUGUUCCUUUCAUUGGUUGCUUGUACGUCGUGGGAUUUCUGUUGGGAAUUAAAACGGCUGAGCAGUGGGGUGCUGCAUCGUUAGCAAGCAAACCAUCAUCGGACAAUGGCAUCAAGUGGCUGGCCCGCUACAUGAAGGGUGAGCACAAACUCAGCACAUCCUACGACCCUCGUACCAUGCAGGGAUACAAGUACCCGGUUCUAAUCCAUUCUGGGCGGGCAACAAUUGGAGAAAAUGCAAUAACACCGGAUAACAUUUGGUGUGACAACAUCGGUAUCUUGUCAUCUUACUAUAGACCUCCUAUCCGUCGUCUCAAGGAUCUGUGUCUCUCAUUCGCAUUGUUCCAUCUUGUGGUUCGGCGAUACUUUGGCUACACUUGUCCUGAAUCUGGGCUUGACAAGACUCGUGAUCUUGUUCUUGAUGGGCUAUUGCAAACAGAACAGGACUAUGAAAGAGCAUUUCAAGUGAUUGAAGCAGAGUUGGCUUUCCUCUAUGAUUUCUUCUUCACCAAAUAUGCCUCCAUAAUGUAUGGCAACGAGCUAAGGUAUUAUGCUCUUUCACUCACCCUCACAUUGGUCAGUAUAGCAGUUGGUGCAUGGUCUCUUAGUGUUUUGAACCGGCACGGCUCUAUUUUGGAUAGUCGUUUUGUAGAAACCAGCACACAAGAUGUCCUGGUUACCGUACUAGCGUUGGCUGCACUGUCGGUAUCUCAGUUCCUGCAGAUAUGGUCUUACUGUGUCUCUGACUGGGCAAAAAUAUCCCGGUUGAAGCAUCUCCUUCCAACUGAGAAAGCAGGCAAGCCUGUGGAGUUGCCAAUGCAAGUGAAGAGGGCAGUGGCACGGACUAUCAAAAACUCAACAAACGGCCAUCUUUCACAUGGAACCUCCGCACUAAUGAGACACGGCAUGAGUGAUGAACUAUGCGGUGCAUGCCAGAUCAACGAUGAAUAUACACUGACCGACAACAUACUGGCAUGGCAUGUUGCGACUAGCUUCUGUGAGAUCUCGGAUACAAUCAAACGCCCACACGAUGUGCACCCGAAUCAAGUUGUCGCCACUGUCUUGUCCAAGUAUUGUACCUACUUGGUCGCCUUUGCACCAACGUUGCUUCCAGGCAGUGCACCAGAAACAAAGUGUGCUCUCGAUGAGAUGGUAAAAGAAGCCAAAGAAAUGUUACAUGAUCUCGUCUCUCCAAGGGAAAAGUAUGAAAAGCUUAGUGAACUAGAGUAUGUCGUAGGUAGUGGAAGAAAAUUGUUCACCUAUGGUGCUGUGCUGGGGAAAGCGCUGGAGAGCAUGGACAAUCAUGCGAACCGGUGGGACCUAUUGGCAGAUUUCUGGGCCGAGAUGAUGGUGUAUAUCGCCCCAUCUAACAAUGUAGCUGGUCACAUAGAACUUCUUGCGGAAGGAGGCGAGUUUGUGACUCACGUCUGGGCUUUGCUCAUGCAUGCUGGUAUUCUGGAGCGUCCCAGUACUACAAUCCCCUAG